UCUUUGCCCUUUAUUCGUGGCUCUGCACCAACGAGCUGGAUAAAACAGGAACACGCUCAGCGCCAGAGGCCCCUUGGGGUCUGAGACCGGAAGCCAGGCCCUGCUUGAUCCCGGUUCUACAGACUUCCUUCCCGACCCUCCCCACUGCCUCUGAGAGAUGUGGCUCCGGCCAGGGGCCCCUAGCCUCCGGGACAGAGGGUGAGGGGGUCAGUGCCUCCUAUUCUCUAGGCUCCUCUGUGGCUCCUCUGUGGUCUGAAGUCUUACUCACUCACCGGUCGGGGGCUUCCGAUGGGGAAGGCGUGGCCCUGUGCACUUGGUUCUGGGUUGUGUUUAGGAAAAUGUAAAUCCAAUGAUACGUGGUGGUGGAAUAUUCGGAUUUGGGGACAUUAAAAUGAUCAGGGUUGCUAAAGCAACCCCCUCAGGGGGCAGGGGACUCACGCACCCUCUGCUUGCCUACCUCCAGUGAUUGUGUGCUCACUACCUCACGGGGCAUCACCUUCUCACUGUUGGAUAUACCGCAUGGAAAUUUGCCUCCCUGGUGCAGUACGGUGAUCCACACAAGGACUCAUCGCAAACCUCUAACCCCAGCGGUCCAGUCGUUGACUUAACCUAUCACUGUAAGCUGCCUAAAGCCCUUUUAGAAACCGACGAGACACAACAACAAAGAGCUGCGUGGAUUUGCUGGGUCCCGUGCUGUGACUCCCCAUCGGCCAAGGGUGACUUCCCAGACACCGUGUGGUUUUGUGAUUUUAUUUUUUAUAUUCAUUUUUAUCUACUUGUUAACGUUUCUUUAUUUUUGAGAGCGUGUGCGUGGGGGAGGGGCGGGAGAGAGGAGGACAGAGGAUCCGAAGCCGGCUCUGUGCUGACAGCAGCGAGCCCGAUGUGGGGCUCGAACUCACGACCCGUGAGCCAAAGUCGGACGCUCAACCCACUGAGCCACGCAGGUGCCCCGUGUCCUUUUGUGAUUUUAAUAAAUUCCAUGAUACAAUGCGAA